rnacentral:rRNA from 1 species
GACAGAGGGUGCAACCGUUGCUCGGAAUCACUGGGCGUAAAGGGCGUGUAGGCGGGAAUGUAAGUCGGGCGUGAAAUCCCUAGGCUCAACCUAGGAACUGCACUCGAAACUGCGUUUCUUGAGUAUCGGAGAGGAUAGUGGAAUUCCCAGUGUAGUGGUGAAAUACGUAGAGAUUGGGAAGAACACCAGUGGCGAAGGCGGCUAUCUGGACGGUUUCUGACGCUAAGACGCGAAAGCGUGGGGAGCAAACAGG